rnacentral:lncRNA from 1 species
AUGCACUGUGAACCUGAUUUCUGUGUGUCAGAUCGUCAUUUCCCAAACCCUGCGGCACUUCUCUGCGUUUUGCAAGAUUCAUCUGAUUUCCAUCGGAGUAAAAAUUUCAAAGAAUUGCAGUUGGAUUACAAGCCACGGGACAAGUUGUGUUGGGAAGGCGAGUUUGCUGUGGGAGUGAAGGGAUCACCUCGAGGUGAACCCCGGAAAAAGCCCAGCACGUACAAAAAUACGUGGCACACUCGCGAUGUCUUCAAAAAGUUCGUGGAAAGCACGUAUUAUGAAAAGCUAUCCGUGCAUUUAAAGCAAGUCUCCUUCAAAUAAACGUACCUUUGAAUUCCAUUUUCCAUGGACGUGUUGAAGUCUCCCUGUGCACAGUUGUUUAGUAACAGACACAAGAAAUACUUAGCUAAUGAAAGGAUGAAUAUGCAUGGAAACGUAGCCCUCUUCUCAAUGAAUUAAUGGGUGUAGAGUUAGUAAGGGUCACUCCAUGUGCUAUAAAGUACGAUGAAAAUAAGGUUAGAUACCUCCCAUGAUAACUAAUUAAAUUUUAUAAUGAACACAGUGGAUUAGACGUGGAAGUUGUCCUUAUUUUAAUGAUAUAUUUGAUCCUAGGAAAAGUGCUUUAUCCAAGGCUACACGGAUGCGAUUCAUGUUAGAAGGAGGUCUAAAAUGAGGCUUUUUUAUAAACAUAUUUAUUGAAUGAGGAGUUAUUGAUACACAGGUUUUAUGUAUUACUGCAAAAUUUAAAAAAGAGAAAAAAAAACAGGAUGAGGGUAGAGGAGGGGGAGUUUGCUCCCUGGACUCUGAUGCAAAAUAGCAAGCAUCUGAAGGCAGCUGUGCGAAUUGAAGCCAUCUGAAGGAAGUGGAAGAGGAUGAGAGGGAGUGGUCCUUUCGGCCUUUCUCAGAGCAGUGGCACCCCCACCCCAAGCUCCCAGAGCAGAAUCCUUUCCUGCCAGAGGCACACAACCCCGGGCCUGUCUCCCAUCAGUGCUAACUCAGCAAGAUUUGUAUUAAUAAUCCCGCUCCCCAAAUGCAUGACCUGAAAUUCCUUUCCGAUAUCCAGGUUCUUGAUGAAAGUUUUGUGUGGAAUUUAAAAUGCAUAACAAAUUGAGGCCUCCUUGCCCUCUUAGAGCAGAGAGCCCCUCUGCACUGGUUUGAGUUCUCUGAUCCAGGGAGGGGUGUUCGCAAUACGUCAGAAAGGCACAUACUCUGCAUGCAAGUCACUCUCCGUUCUUCAUCCAUCAACUCACUACCCAUCCCCCACCUGCGGGUGCAUGUGUGUGCCUCUCUCCACACACACGUGUGAAGAAUGUGGCGUUAG